UGCUGUGCUACUGGGAUGUAGUAGGGGGUUCCUGUGGCCCUGCUGGGUUCAGCAGGCAGGGAGCCAGCUCCCCAGACCCGUUGCUUACCCCCUGAAAGCUAAGCUUUUCCCAGCCCCAAAUCUGGGGGAGGGAGGAAAUUCCUUCAUGCUGCUGGGGCAAUAUGGGGAAAACAAGACUCUGCAAUGUGUGUGGUUUGGCCUUUACCCAGACUUUCUGGGGUCUGUGACCUGCCUGAGCCCAGCUGUUGGUUUGCGUGCCGCCAGCACCGGGCUGACAGUGGGUGAUUCCUUGCUGCCUCUGUUCUUUGGUCCUCUGGCUGCUUAGACCUGCUGGAAGCAGUUAUCUCAAUCACUGAAACUGAUCUCAGCUGCUGUCCGAGGCAGGUAGACACGUGCUUGUGUGGCAAAGGGCGGGAGCUGCUGUUAUUGCUGAAAUGGAACCAGGGCAGCUGGGCGUGAGCACGGCGCUAGCCGCCCGCAGCCAGCACGGUCAGGUUAUGAGGAAUAAGGCAGCAUUGCUACACAUGGAAUUACCCUGACAUGGCAAUUCAGACCAUGUUGUUCCUAAGGCUCUUGGAAAUUGGAAUGGACUAACCCAUGAAACACAUUAAGGUAAGACUGGCUAUUUCUGACAUUAUUUUUGGAGUAGAUUUCCACCUCCACUUUUAAUUCACAUGCUGCUUUGCUUUGCAAUACCUCCACAUCCGGACAAGUUCUUACGUACAAGCUCAGCUAAAGAAA